rnacentral:lncRNA from 1 species
GCAUGCGCAUUAAAUAUUCCGGGACAGUAGAGACGCAUGCGCAUUGAACCUGGUUCCGCCCUCUUGAUGAUGACUUGCAUUAAAAGAAAUCAUUAUACUUCGGUCUUGCAAUGCAUUUCUCAACUCCCGCACACACAACAACGCUAUCCUUUAUGAAUCAUUUCCGUAAGUAUUAAACAAUUCGAUGCUUUUAAUUCUGGAGACUUUCGCUUUUUGGCGACUCAAUUCUUUGUGUCUGCUCUCUGUUUUAUGAAUAUGAGAUGUCCUUGAUUCGUGCGGGUUUGGCUGCUAUUUCUACCUAUGGAAUAUGGAAGACACUUGUCUAUGAUCUGUGCGCGAUUUUGACAUCUAUUUCUAGCUAUGUAAGUUAGGUACCGUGCCUUUUCGAGAAAUCCUCUGCAAUCGUUUGAAAUGGCUAUAAUGUUUGCAUCUUUGGAUAAGUCCACCUUGGUCCUGGUAGGACCAAUGCAAGGUGGUAAUGUAGAAGAUGAUUGCUACUUAUCUACCUCAGAAAGGCAUAAGGUACAUUUGGUUUGGGUGAUAUUUGAACUCGGAACGUGGUGCUCUAUCGAUUUUUCUAUCUAUUUUCUCCUCCAUCCAUCUCUGUAUUGAGUAUAUAUAUAUAUCAAAUAUAUAUUGAGUAUAUAUAUAUAUAUCAAAUAUAUAUUGAGUAUAUAUAUAUAUAUAUCAAAUAUAUAUUGAGUAUAUAUAUAUAUCAAAUAUAUAUUGAGUAUAUAUAUAUAUAUCAAAUAUAUAUUGAGUAUAUAUAUAUACAUAUAUAUAAUAAUAAAUAUUAGGGAAUAAAUCCAAACUUACAGGGAAAAAUCAGAUUUAGGAUUGAAUCCAAUUUUAUUGUAAAAUAUUAUAUUAUAUUAAAUUAGAGAUAAAACCACUAUUAGGCAAAUCAUACAAUGAAAAACUUAAGCCAAUACAUAAGAUUAGUCGACUUUGCCUUUCAUCCUUUCGGGGUCGAUAAAUUAAGUACCAGUUACGCACUGGGGUCGAUGUAAUCGACUUAAUACCUAUGUCUGUCCUUGUUUGUCCCCUCUGUGUUUAGCCCCUUGUGGGUAAUAAAGAAAUAGGUACUGGAAUAUCCUUCAAUGAUGAAUUCCAAAAUAGCGGUUCUAUCUUACCUGUAAAUUCCAUAAUUUACGAAGUUGAGAUAUUACACUCAAUAUACGUAAUUUAUCAAUAUAUUAAUUAAUAAUAAAUAUUAGGGAAUAAAUCCAAACUUACAGAUAUUUAAAUAAUCUUAUGUAUUGGCUUAAGUUUUUCAUUGUAUGAUUUGCCUAAUAGUGGUUUUGUCUCUAAUUUAAUAUAAUAUAUAUAUAUAUAUAUAUAUAUAUAUAUUACCUUAUUAUUUCAGUUUGCACCCAGUGGCUAUGAUGUUUGCAUCUUUGGAUAAGUCCACCCUGGUCCUGGUAAAGCAUAUACAAUGGAAGUUGGUAAUGUAGAAGAUGAGAUGAUGGGUAUGAUUCCAAGAGCUGCUGUUCAGGUGUUUGAAACCGUUGAAUUAUUAGUUGAGAAAGGUUAGAAGGUAAGUUUCUAUUUAAAAACCUGAUAUAAAAUUAAAAAAAAAUCUUGCAUUUUAUGAAUCUUCUUGGUGAUUAUUCAAGAGUUUAUAACUGAUUGUGAAUAUUGGUAUGGUUUUAUUUUUGUUAAAAUAUGCUGCCUUGUAUAGUUUUAGCUGCUGUUUCUUUAACUGAGUCAAUUGUUUAAUCUGUUGUUUGUCAGUUCAACAGUGAUUAUUUAUCUUCAUUUGAAAUUUUUGAUUUGAUAUCCUCAAUGGUUCUUAUAUAUAGCCACAUAGACUAUAUUCUUUCUUAUACUAAUUUCCUUGAAUCUCAGAGGAAGAAAUAUGUAAAGUUAUCCUUGGCAGGUUAAAAUUUCAAAUUUAGAUGGAUGUUGCCAGCAAUGUGUGAUUUCUGAUUCAGUCCUAUUGCAUGGCACCAUAGGCAAGUAAAUGCAGGCUAAACAAGGCCUUGAGAAAGAAUUUGUGAGCUGGGAACUAUAAAAUCUGUUGUACAUGUCAUCAUUGUGACUGUCAUUUAAUGUCCACUUUUCAUUGCUUACACGAGUCAGAUGGAAUUUGUUGAGGCAUAUUUUCUUUAGCUGGAUGCUCCUCUUGUCAUCAUCUCUCGUCUGUUUGCAAGCAAGGUAACAUUUUUUGAUAGCUAGCCAUGUUUCCCAUGGAAAACUAGAAACGAAUAACCUUUGUAUGAUGAUGAUGAUGAUGCUCAUUUGCAACUCUCAGAUGAUGUCUAGAUAAGGUUACACGUGUACAAUUGGAUUCUUUCAGUUUCUGCCUACCAAAUCCACUUGCAAGGCCUUGAUUGUUCAGGGCCUGUGGUAGAAAGCACUUGGCCCAACGUGCAACUAUGUGUGGUUAAACUGAAACCCAAACCAUGGGCAUUGUUAAAUGUUGUUCUUAUGAACUGAAGGGAUUUUUAAGCAUUGCUACUUUGAAUCUAAGAAAUUAUCAAAUGUUUCUGCUAUAAAUUUAAAAUGUUAUUAAAUGUUGCUGUCGUAAAUUUAAGAUAUUAGAUGUUCUGAUAUCCAUGCAGGUAUGGAAAGGUGGAGGGCUUGAAAACGAUGAUGAUGAUGAUUUUGAUUUAAUCAGAAAUGAAAUCUGUGAUAACCUAUUUUGAUUUCUAUUUUAAAUGUUUGAACAACAUAGGACAGAAGCCUUGAGUUAUUUUUAAUCAAUAGGAAAAAGGUCAGGUUCUUGAUUACUUAGGACAAAGAACAACAAAAAUGGAAAUGAAAAUGAAAAAAAAAAAGGACAGUAAAGCAGAAUAAAGCAAUUUUUAUCAUGGGAAAUAUCCUGGUAGCAUUUAGGCUGGAAGUUAUUUUUAAGAAACAGGUCUUGAGGGAGAAAAGUGUAUAUGUAAAGUAAUAAAUGAUAUUUAAAUUUUCAUUUGAAUGAUGGAGAUUAAAGAUUUUCCAUUCUUGAUUUGUCAAUCGUAAUUUUAUGGAAAUUGUGUGUGUGUGUAUAUAUACUCAAAUAUCGCAGGCUUAUCAUAUAUUUUAACUUUUACUAAUCAGUUUUGUCAAACCAUUUGAUAACCUAAAAAGUAACAAUUAUUUACUCAAUGUUGUGAAAACUUAAUCAGUUAAGUAAUGGCACACCACACACACACACACACACACAGGUGCUGCGUUCAUGAUCAUAAAAUUGUGGUUUUGAUUCCUGGAAUGAGUGAUGCAUUGUGUUCUUGAGCAAAACACUUAAUUUCAUGUUGCUGCUGGCAAAGAUGAGUAAUCCUGUGACAGACUGGCAUCUUAUCCAGGAGUGGGAGAAUAUAUACGCCACAGAAUUCAAGAUAUUGGUUUUAUGAGCCUAUGUCAUGGGAAGGACUUUUUCAUGUAUUUGUGUGUGUGUAUAUCUCUGUGCCAAAGGCAUGUAAAAAGUACUAUCUGAAUAUGAUCGAUGCCAGGCUCGCCCAACUGGCUCCUGUGCUGGUGGCACGUAAAAAGCACCCACUGCACUCUCAGGGUGAUUGUUGUUAGGAAGGGCACCUAGCUGUGGAAACAUUGCCAGAUCAGAUUGGAGCCUGGCACAGCCGCUGGCUUUCCAGACCUCUGUCAAACCAUCCAACCCAUGCCAGCAUGGAAAAUGGACAUUAAAGGAUGAUAUAUAUAUAUAUAUAUAUAUACACACACACACACAUGCAUAUGAAUAAUAUGCUUACAUUAUAAGAAUUUAAAAAAUUUAUCAGAAUUGAAGUAAAUUUUUUUUCAUGGAGGAACAGAUAAAGCUUUCAAUAACAGCAAGUAGAAUAUUGGGUUAAAAGAAAUCCUUCAAUGGAAUAAAGGUCAACCCACAUCUGUUAAUAUGACAAAUGCGUCUGUCUCAUGGGCAGCCUUUAACUCUUUCCCAUUCAAAGGGCCUUUUUUUUAUGCCUGAUAUUCUACACACUAUUUUAUAUGAGGGGUACUGAAAAAUUCCUGGUUUUGGGUAAAAGAAAAUACAUUGGGGAACAGUUAUGAUUUUAUUGAAUAUAUUCCCCUCUCAGAUUCACACACUUUUUGCAAUGGUCCUUCAGUUUUUCUAAGCCCUUUAAAAGAACUAAGAAGGUUGUGCCUCCAGCCAAGCCUUUCAUGAUACACUUAAAGCCAGGAACUUUUCAGCACCCCUUGUGUGUGUGUGUGUGUGUGUGUAAAGUUUAUGUUCAGUUAAAUGAAGGAAAGAAACUGGAGAGUUAAGAUAAUUAUUUAUCAUUAAAAGAUUGUUAAUCUUUACUUCUUACAGCCGUUUCCAUUAGUGCUCAAUAGGGUAAAUUACGAAUUUAUGCUUUAAGUUUGCAUUUAUGUGUUAUGAGCAUAAUUUCAUCCGAGAAAGAUAUACAUGAAGAUAUUACACAUGGACCCUUCCAUUCUUGCAAGCAGACUAAAUAAGGAGUUAUUGUUUUUUUAUUCUUAUGUGUGGGUGAAUGGUUGACAGAUCAGUUGGAAUAUAAUGAGUAAUAAGGUAAAGAAUAAAAUAAAAAGUAAAAUUAAAAUAAAGAAAAUUUUAAAUGAAUAAUAUAAAUGUAAAAUAAAUAACAGAAUUAAAAUAUCCCAUUAUGAGAGAUGAAUAAAAAAAAAAUGUGUAAAUACAUAGACAUUUACACAUAUAUAUAUAAAAAAACCCUAAAAAACAUGCAGUUCUAGAAUCAAUCAAUCAAUGCUCAUAGGUUGAGGAUAUUUUAAAUUGGUGUGUAUAUGCAGUUGCAUCUUCAGAAAGAGAUGUAUCUCGUCAUACAGACACACUCAAUUAUGGACUGUAAAUCAAACAUUAAAUUUCUCAAACAUCCACUUAGAGUAAAUGCACACUAGAAAAAAAACCCAAGGAUUUAAUAACAAACCUAAAAUCCAAGGAUGGAAUUAUUUGUGUACUUGGACAAAACAAACAAGACCAUAAUGAUAACUUCCAAACUGACCCAAAGGUUAGAUGCCCUGGUAAGUUGGACUUGGGUAGAUUAAGUAAAAUAAUUUUAGAUAAAUCCAUACCUAUGCUUAGAAAUAAAGUAUCUCUCGAACUGUGGUUAAAUAGUUAAGGCUAUUAGUUGGUUUACUAACAUUCAAAAUAAGGAUAAAUAUAAAUUCUUAUAGACAUUGACAAUUAUUGUUCCUCUGUCAACUCUAUUGUGUGUAUGCAUGUAUGUGUGUAUAUCUGUGAUAUUCAAUCAUUUUAUAGAGUGUUUAGGUGUUGGUUUGGUGCCUAAAAUGGAAUAGCUUACCUCUUGGGCAGGUAGAAGCUCUUUUACUUAGAAGAAGGAAAUCUCCGAAAUAAAACUUGGAUGUUCUUGGUUUUGCCAAUUUUCAUGUCACACCAGCUAAAAAGUCUUCUUCAGCCAAUAGGUGAGGGUAGUGCAGUGCAAGCUACACCCACUGGAAAUUAUUCAUCUGCACAAGUACUUCCUGUACACCAAAUCUUAGUAAAAUCAUUGAAUUGGUUGGUUGGCAGAAAACCUAAAAAUGCACUUGUAACUUACCCGAAAAUGUCUCAGAUUCAGUAAAUGGCAGAUAAACUCAUUGUAAUCUGCUGUUUAAAGCCCAUUUCUGGUAUUUGGUUCCCUGAUGUCAUUAAUAAUAUGGAUGUAUAUGCCACUGGAUUUAUUUCAGGAAUUCCUUUGUGUCCAUUGAGUUUACAAAAUAUGAGAGAAAGAAAAUGGAAAUCACAAGACCCUUCUAUUAUUCACUCUGAUCAUGUAGACAAGUUACACACGACUACCAAAAUGUAUUUCAAUAGAAAUAAGUGAAACUGAGAUUAAGAUGAGAUACCUUUUUGUAAGUCAUCCACCCCUAUGAUGCACCUGUUUGUAUAGCAUCCCCCCUGAUGAGUCAUAGUGAUCAUAGCAAAUAAUAAAAGAUUCUCAUGAAUUCCAUUUUCUUUCUCUCAUAUUUUCAUAGGUUUUGUUGCAAAUUUAUGUCCUUGUCCCUUUCUUGCAGUCGUUAAUAACUUAUUGACCCCCAUCAUAUAAAUUUCUAAAUCAAAAAUUAGAAAUGAUAAAAAAAAAAUUUCCCAGUUAGGAAAUAAUUGUGUCAUUACUUUUUUUUUUUUAUCUAAUUAAUAUUUAAAGAAAUUAAAUGAAAUUGUGAAAGAGCAAAAAAAAUUUAGUCAUAUUCUAUUGAUAUUGGAGGAAUAUUUGAAGACUAGUAAUUGCCGUGAUAUUUGGCAGUUUUAGCUUCAACUUACUGUUCUUCCAGAUUUAGGGGUGCUAACAAUUUAGCACCCCUAAUGUUCAAAAUUGUUUCAUUGUUAUAUAGACCUGCAGGGGUUAAUAUUGACCCUUUUGCCAAAUCCUAGGUUAAAGGAGCAUAUUAUUGAAGCAUUUUUCCUUCAAAUUGCAAUUUGCUGGGGUAAUACAUAUCGGAAGCAAAGGAUGGUGAUUGAUUCAUUUUUUUUCCUUUUGUAACUUUGAUUUCUUCAGGCUCAAUGUGUCAUGGCCUGUCUGUGUUCUUCAAUCUAGUUGUAGGUCCAAGAUGCCAUGUAAUCUUGAAAUGAAAUCUUUUUAUUUAAAAUCCUGUAACACAUCCAUUUUAGAAUUCACUUUAAUGGUUGGAAUGUAAAACAGGUGGAAUAUUUGGACUGGACACGGCCUGUUUUGACCCUUUAGCAUUCAGAUAAUUCUAUGAAAUGCAAUGCCUAUUUAUUCACAUUAUUUUCAAUUAAUCAUGAAUUAUACUGAAGCUCCAAGAUUUUACAAUGAUGUGAUUAUUUUUAGAAUAACAUUGUUUGGUAGGUGUGAGAGGUUGGAUUUGGCCAGUUUGGACAUAAAACAGGUAGACUAUUUCUGCCAAAUAUUGCCGGUUCAAAUGCUAAAGGGCUUAAGUGACCAAAAGGAACGUGCUUCGGGUUUUAGCCUGAUCCUUAUUCUUCUUCUCCCUUUGUCAACCAUAUUACACUUGGUGUAAUAGGAUAUAGCUCCUCUCAUGCAGAAACAUUAAAACAAAAUCUGUUGAUCUCUGGUUACUCUUGUUGCUGUUUAUUCAUCUAGUCUUUACUUUUCUAUUUCAGUAUGAAUUCAAUGUGUCCUUCCUUGAGAUUUACAAUGAAGCCAUUCAUGAUUUGCUGAAUGACAAAGAGAAGCACGAUGUCUAAAUGGCUGCUGACAAAUCAGGUGCAAUGAAUGUUAGCAAUGGGACUAGUGUUGCAGUUGCAUCAUGAGACCAGGUAAGAAAAGAUUGCUGCAAAUUUCAUUAUUACAGUAACAUAGAUGUAACUGUGGGUGUGUUUUUAAGAGGCUUGUUUUGCAACCUUGUGGUUUUGGGUUCACUUCCAUUGGAUGAUGCUGUGGUCCAGUUUCUUCUACACCAAGUCUCUGACCCAUUAAAUCCUUGAGAGAGGAUUUGGUAGAUAGAAGCUGAAAAAAAGCCCAUUGUGUGUGUCUGCAUGAGUAUGGUGUGUAUGUUUGUGUCUAUUUAUGUUGAGAUUGUGCUAGUUGUAAACAAAUGCCACUGUCAUAGAAGCAAUGUUGUUUGUUUGCAGUCUGUCAUGAAAUUAUUUUUGGCCAUUGUGUUGUUUGAGCGAUUUCUACAGGAAAUAUUCUCUUGCUAACAUGUGAGCUAUGAUGACAGGAAGAGCAAGCUGGUCAUAGAAAGUAUGCCUUAAUGAAGUGGAUGAAGGUUUAAUCCUUUACAUUGCUAUAUUUUUGUUCAAAUACAUGCUUAAGAAUAUUAAAGGAUUUAAUAAUAAAAUAACUUUAUCAGUACUAAUCUGGUGUUUGGAAGAUAAAUUAACGGAAGGGUUCUACUUUAAAUGCAAGGUUAUUACCAGUUCAUACUUGCAUGUGACACAUUUUGAUUUCCUGUUUUGUCAUGGAGAAACACAUAACAAAACAGUGAAUGACUUAUUUACAAGGCCAAACGUACCACACACACACACACCAUCUAAACUGGUAAUACCAUUACAGUUAUAUACUUCACUGCUUUCUUUGUUUUUUUGUUUUUUUUUUUUAGUUUUUUUGCUUUUUAAUAUUUAAACGUGUUGAUUGAAUUUCCUUUGCAGAUUCAUUGGUUUGUUGUUGAAGGCGUCCAAGAACCAUGCUGUUGGUGAAACCAGACUCAGUGAGUGCUCAUCUUGUAGUCACAGUGCUUGGGGAAACCUGCAAUGGCUGGUAAUAUUUUUAGAGAUUUAGGACAAUUUGUCUCUUGAUUUUUUUUAGUCCUAUAUCUAUUUUUUCAUUGUCUACAUGAGUGGCUGCGUGGUUAAGAAGUUUGCUUCUCAACCACAUGUGCUGAUUAAAGCCUUGUGAGGCCAUUUGGUAGAUGGAAACUGAAAGAAGCCUUUCGUAUAAAUUAUGCUUGAAUUCCUUGGAAAUCCAAAUUCAAAAUGUUUUUAAAACUUGUUCAUGCACAUGGCAUCCUAUUAUUAAUUACAAAUUGAAUGACACCAUGUAAAGGGUGAUGAAUUUUUAGCUUUUUGGUGUUGAAAAUUUUUACAGAUCUGUUUUGAAAUAUCUUGUAUGAUUAUGCAAAAUAUAUUUUUUUGGCUUAAAUUUUUUCAUCUAAGCCAGCCCCACCCUGUAAAACUUUGCAGAUUCUUGAAUUAGACUUCACUGGUAUUUAUCAUAGUGGCAGUGAAAAGGACUUUGCUAGGAUUUCUGCAGAGAUUUCAGACAUAUGUAAAUGAUAAAUUGUUUUGAUAGCAUAAUUAUCGGUUAGUAAAUAUCUUUUUUUCUUAAACACACACAGGAGUGGCUGUGUGGUAAGUAGCAUGCUAACCAACCACAUGGUUCCGGGUUCAGUCCCACUGCGUAGCAUCUUGGGCAAGUGUCUUCUGCUCUAGCCCCAGGCCGACCAAUGCCUUGUGAGUGAAUUUGGUAGACGGAAACUGAAAGAAGUCUGUCGUAUAUACGUAUAUAUAAUAUAUAUAUAUAUAUAUAUGUGUGUGUGUUUGUCCCCCUAGCAUUGCUUGACAACCGAUGCUGGUGUGUAUUCGUCCCCGUCACUUAGCGGUUC